GAUGAACGCUGGCGGCGUGCCUAAUACAUGCAAGUCGAGCGAACAGAUAAGGAGCUUGCUCCUUUGACGUUAGUGGCGGACGGGUGAGUAACACGUGGAUAACCUACCUAUAAGACUGGGAUAACUUCGGGAAACCGGAGCUAAUACCGGAUAACAUAUUGAACCGCAUGGUUCAAUAGUGAAAGGCGGCUUUGCUGUCACUUAUAGAUGGAUCCGCGCCGUAUUAGCUAGUUGGUAAGGUAACGGCUUACCAAGGCAACGAUACGUAGCCGACCUGAGAGGGUGAUCGGCCAAACUGGAACUGAGACACGGUCCAGACUCCUACGGGAGGCAGCAGUAGGGAAUCUUCCGCAAUGGGCGAAAGCCUGACGGAGCAACGCCGCGUGAGUGAUGAAGGUCUUCGGAUCGUAAAACUCUGUUAUUAGGGAAGAACAAAUGUGUAAGUAACUGUGCACAUCUUGACGGUACCUGAUCAGAAAGCCACGGCUAACUACGUG
rnacentral:rRNA from 1 species